CAAUGGCCGGUACAACGGGGUGCGACACGGUGACGUGGGGCGGAUCCCUGAAAACCGGUCUCAGUUCGGAUCGCAGUCUGCAACUCGACUGCGUGAAGGUGGAGUCGCUAGUAAUCGCGGAUCAGCAACGCCGCGGUGAAUGCGUUCCCGGGCCUUGUACACACCGCCCGUCAAGUCAUGAAAGUGGGCAGCACCCGAAGACGGUGGCCUAACCCUUGUGGGGGGAGCCGUCUAAGGUGAGGCUCGUGAUUGGGACUAAGUCGUAACAAGGUACC
rnacentral:rRNA from 1 species